rnacentral:pre_miRNA from 1 species
UUUGAUGUGAAUUGAUUUGUCUUUGGAUACACUUAUUUAAAAGUGAUUCUUAUGAGUUGAUGUGUGUGUUUGGUAUAG